UACGUAGGGUGCGAGCGUUGUCCGGAAUUACUGGGCGUAAAGAGCUCGUAGGUGGUUUGUCGCGUUGUUCGUGAAAACUCACAACUCAAUUGUGGGCGUGCGGGCGAUACGGGCAGACUGGAGUACUGCAGGGGAGACUGGAAUUCCUGGUGUAGCGGUGAAAUGCGCAGAUAUCAGGAGGAACACCGGUGGCGAAGGCGGGUCUCUGGGCCGAUACUGACGCUGAGGAGCGAAAGCGUGGGGAGCGAACAGG
rnacentral:rRNA from 1 species